AUCUUUAGCUCAGUUGGUUAGAGCUACCGGCUCAUAACCGGUCGGUCGUAGGUUCGAGUCCUACAAGAUCC
rnacentral:tRNA from 1 species